CCUGUUUGGAUGGAGACACAGUCAUCGCCUGUGUAACACAAACCAAAACGCUAAUGUUAGCAAGCAUGUGGUAUUUUCAGACUUGUUUGACCGCUGCAGUAUGUGCUCUGUUAUGCAGUGGAUAUAUACCAUGAAAGGUGAAGAACAGAAACAGUCUUUGAUGAUGUUUUAUGCCUCAUUUCAGUCUCAAGGGAGUGUAGCGGAUCCCAUCUCUACUUGGUAAAGGAACGUCUAGUCUUGUUUAUGCAUGAAGCAUGGCUGCCAAUGGGAUGAUGCAAGACAGCCUAAAGAAUCUUCGGUAUCGUUAUUUUUAAUGCAAGCAGGGAAGCUAAAGAUGGCACAAGUGGAACUUGUGAGAUGGACAUAAGGAAUGGGUUCCUCUUGGUUCUUUCCUUUUCUUUCUUUCACGCCCUACCUUGGGCGGUGAGGAACUUGUUCAGUCUAUUGUAGGCCCCUAUACUGCUAUUCUCGUUACAAAUGAACAAUGAAAGGUUUGCUGGCAGUAAA